rnacentral:rRNA from 1 species
AUGGAUGACGACGGCGGCGCCUCCCCAUCCCACCACGGCGGCUGCGGACGAAGCAUCCGCCUGGAAUGCCGAUGCGGCUUCAAGGACGACUACAGCCUCGACGACACCGAGGACGGCCGCUUCUACUGCGGGCGGUGCUACGGCGACCUCGACACCCAGGCGACCGCCGUCGACCACCAAGAUUUCCAAACCCCGGGCAACAUAAUCCCACGAGCCGACUUUGUGCCUGGCGCCGACCCGGAGGAGCUGGGGGCUCAGCUCCGGCGGCGCUACGUGCAGGGGCUGCAGGUGAUCCUGCACCAGCAGCUGCAAGUGCUGGUGGAGAGGUACCGGGUGGGCGCACUCGUCUGCGGCGUGGCCGGAACCGUCUGGCUGCGCUGGGUGGCCGCCUCCAAGGUGUUCGACGGAAUGUGGGCGCGGAAGGUGCUCGCCGAGGCCGAGGCCGCGCAGAGACUGAUUAAGCGCUCUGCCUGUGGAGGCCAGCAGGAACCUCAAGAGGUGAAGAAGUGUGAACGGGCGGACGAAGCCUCGCCUCGGAAAGACAGGCGAAGGGUUGAGUUCAUCUUUCUGCGCUCAUUGAGGACGAUGCUGCCGCUGCACUCGACAUUGUCUGUCUGUUUCCUGUCCUGUCAUAUUGCCCGGGAAGCCAUCCUACCGACCGACAUUUAUAGGUGGGCGAUGGAGGGUAAGCUUCCUUAUGUGGCGGCAUUUACGGAAGUGGACAAGCUUCUUGGGAGCCGUCCAAAACACUGCCCUCUGAAUGCGAGGCAACUGUUCAGGCCAGUCCGAGUGAUUGGAGCGUGGCAGCUGGAAGCGGCCGCCGGGUUCAUAGCACAAAGAAUAGGCUUGCAGCUUCCUUCAGUCAAUUUCUAUGCUAUUGCUCAGCGCUACUUGGAUGAGUUUUCUCUGCCGGAGAUUUGUGAGGCAGCAAGAAAUGCAGGCGGGUCUGACUGUCAUGCAAAAUUACCGCAAUCUAUGAAGCCUGAUGGCGGCACCAGUGAGGAGUUUGGCACAAGGGAAUUGCUGUGGACUCUUGUAGAUGCCUAUGAUAAAAUUGACGUUGCACAUGCAUUAGGGCAUGUCCAACUCUCCAGGUUGGACAGCUGCUCCAGCACUCCACGUAGGAUCAGAUGGUCCAGUUUGCCAAAAGACUAUUCGAAGGACCUUCACUCAUAUCUCAGAUAUUGCAAAGAUGUUGUUUUUCCUGGGAUUGCAUGUUCAGUUGAAGAAGAGCACUUAAUAGAGAUCUUCCAGGAUUUGUACAAAGGACGAGAGGGUGAGAAUAUAAAAGCUCACACCACAAAUGGAGUGAAUAAACGAGGUCGGGAUGGGACUUCUGUUGGUGCAAGGUGCUUUUCUCCAUCAUCAUCAUCAGGGAUACAGAGUAUCAAGUCAGAAAUGGAAGUCCACGGAUUUUGUUAUAUGCCGCCAAGGAAGUGGCCAAGAUCAGAUGGUUACCUUCACUAUAGAAGGAAGGCAAUGACUGGUCGUCUUGUUUGUGCUGGACAUGCUGAUUAUUACCUGUUGCUACGCUCAUUUGCCAAGCUUGCAGAAGUUGAUAUUAGGGUUAUGCAUGCCAGCCAUGGCGGAUUCUUUGCCAGUCAUCGUGACGAUGGUCUGCGCUACCUUGAUCACUCGGCCAGACCCAACGCCGCCGGCGCUGGCUUGCACCGGCAUCCUUUCCAUACAAUCGUGGAAGUUAUUAAUGCAACUAAUGUACACAGAAAACCAACACAAGACCGAAUAUUGAGCGAUUGGCAGUGUGGUGAUGAUUCAUCUCGUAACAAUGUCAUAGAAGGUGAUCACAUGAAGUUCAUAGGAAAGCAUGGCGUCGCCGCCUCCGACCCCAGCCUUCUCCAGGACUUCUGCGUCGCUGACAAGACGUCCCAAGUGCGUGUCAACGGGCUGCCUUGCAAAGAUGCGACGGAAGUCGUCGCCGAGGACUUCUUCUUCUCCGGCCUUCAUGUGGCCGGCAACACGGCCAACAAGCAGGGCUCCGCAGUGACUGCCGUCAACGUCGCGCAGAUUGGUGGUCUCAACACCAUGGGCAUCUCCCUCGUCCGCAUCGACUAUGCGCCGAACGGCCUCAACCCUCCCCACACCCACCCGCGCUCCACCGAGAUCUUGACCGUGCUAGAGGGUUGUCUCCAUGUGGGCUUCAUCACCUCGAACCCUGAGAACAGACACUUCACCAAGGUUCUCACCAAGGGAGACGUGUUUGUAUUCCCCAAGGGCCUCGUCCAUUACCAGUUCAAUAAUGGGAAUACUCAUGCUGUGGCCAUCGCGGCGCUGAGCAGCCAGAACCCCGGAGUGAUCACGGUAGCCAACGCGGUGUUUGGAUCGGAGCCUGCCAUCUCAGAUGAUGUUAUUACCAAGGCAUUUCAGGUGGAGAAGAACACCGUCGAUUGGAUCCAAGCACAAUUCUAA